UUCUUUUUCCUUUGAAAUGAAAGUGAAAGUGUCAAGAGAAACUUUGUGUGGACAUCGGACAACAAGGAGUUCGACAGUGGAGAAGAAUGAGGGUUUUAAUCUUGAGGAUUUUUGUUUAUUUGUAUCUAAGUGCAGGUGUGUGGAGUGUCCAUCAGAUCCAGUGGCUGCCUUGUUACUUCAUUGAUGAGCGUUUGUAUUUGAACAAGGACAACCACACUGAGACUCGGGUCAUCCCCAGAGAGGCUAUACUUCAGUUUGGUCAGAAAGGAGAUGCUCCUGUUAACCCAAACGCCAUCACUUUCCUGGUCAUCAGAUCAAAGUUGGAUCUGCUGCAGUAUGUGGAGGGGGUGGAGGCAGAGCAGCUGAAGUGUGAGCUGCACAGAUACAGCACAGAGGGCGGUUACGUCCGCUGGCCUGUCCUCGGUGCCCGGGAGUACAACCACUGGUUUACCUGCAUCCUCAGACACAGCAGGGGCCGCUUCACAGUCGCUGGCACCCUUAGACACCCCUCUGACCAGCCUCCCCCAGGGCAGCCAGACUACCACAACUGGUCUGUCAUCGCUGACAAAGAGGUACUCACCACCGCAGUCGCCAUGGUCAUCAAAACACAGACUCCCUCAGUUAAAGCACGCCUGAAGUCCCAGCAAAAGCUCCACUGCCAGUUUGAUGUUGACCACAAGGGUGCAAAGGUCACUGUAGAGUGGCAUAGGCACCGCCCUGGUGAGAGGACCAAGCUCUUCAGUUACAACAGGCACACAGGACAGACUGAGGGGAGCGGUGUCGGACUACGUGCCAUUGCGGCUGGAGAUGCCUCUUACACCCUCGCCUCCACCACAAUGAUCAGUGAAGGGACCUACAUUUGUUCAGUGUCCGUGUAUCCACUGUUCACCAAGGUGGAUAUAUAUCUGCAGAUUGAAGAGUCUCCCCAUGUCUCCCUCAAUGUUGCAACCACCCUGUUAUUGCAGGAGGGCAAGGACUUGAUGGUUAAGUGUGAGGCAAAUGGCUACUACCCUCGGGAUGUGGAGAUAAUUUGGUACGAGGAGGAUCCAGGCACUCCACAUCCCAAGCCACUAAACCAUAGUGUUCUGUUCAGCCACAAAGUAAAUGGGGACAUGACCUUCUUGCUGUCAGGUGUCUUCUACCUCCAGGCUGCGCUCAGGGACUCUGGGAAAAAGUUCACAUGCAGUGUCUCCCAUCAGUCCCUGAAAGUGCCCAUAACAAAAAGUUUCACCCUGAUUGUGGAAGAGCCAACAAACUGGAUUUUGUACCUCGUUGUGGGCUCUGCGUUGUGUGUUGUGAUCCUGCUGUUGUAUGUGAAGCGGCGCUACCUGCACUCAGGUGUGUGGAGUGUCCAUCAGAUCCUGUGGCUGCCCUGCUACUUCAUUGAUGAGCGUGUGUUUUUGAAUAAGGACAACCACACAGAGACUCAGCUCAUCCACAGAGAGGCUAUACUUCAGUUUGGUCAGAAAGGAGAUGCUCCUGUUAACCCAAACGCCAUCACUUUCCUGAUCACCAGAUCAAAGUUGGAUCUGCUGCAGUAUGUGGAGGGGGUGGAGGCAGAGCAGCUGAAGUGUGAGCUGCACAGAUACAGCACAGAGGGCGGUUACGUCCGCUGGCCUGUCCUCGGUGCCCGGGAGUACAACCACUGGUUUACCUGCAUCCUCAGACACAGCAGGGGCCUCUUCACCAUCACCAGCUUCCUCAGGCGCCCCUUCGACCAGCCUCCCCCAGGACGGCCAGACUACCACAAAUGGCCCCCCAUCCCUAACAGAGAGGUACUCACCACCACAGUCGCCAUGGUCAUCAAAACACAGACUCCCUCAGUUAAAGCACGCCUGAAGUUCCAGCAAAAGCUCCACUGCCAGUUUGAUGUCGACCACAAAGGUGCAAAGGUCACUGUGGAGUGGCACAAGCAGCACCACGGUGAGAGGACCAAGCUCUUCAGUUACAACAGGCGCACAGGACAGACCCAAGGAAGUGGUGUUGGACUACGUGCCUUUGCAGCCGGAGAUGCCUCCUACACCCUCGCCUCCACCAUGAUAAGCAGUGAAGGGACCUACAUUUGUUCAGUGUCCGUGAAUCCACUAUUCGGCAGGGUGGAUAUAAAUCUGCAGAUUGAAGAGCCUCCCCAUGUCUCCCUCAAUGUGGGACCCAGUCUCUCACUAGUGGAGGGUAACAAGAGGAAGAUUGUGUGUGGGGCAAACAGCUACUACCCUCGGGAUGUGGAGAUAAUUUGGUACGAGCAGGAUCCAGUCAUGUUGGACGCUCCACAUCCCAGGUCACUGGAGAAUGUCUUCCUUUCCUACCACAAAGAAAAUCGGGACAUGACCUUCUCGUUGUCGGGCUUCUUCUACCUCCAGGCUUCGCUCAGGGACUCUGGGAAAAGGUUCACAUGCAGUGUUUCCCAUCAGUCCCUGAAAGUGCCCAUCACAAAGAGCUUCACCCUGAUUGUGGAAGAGCCAACAAACUGGAUGUUGUACCUCGCUGUGGGCUCUGUUAUGAUCCUGCUGUUGUAUGUGAAGCGGCGCUACCUGCACUCAGCAUGGAGAACGUUAGCGGGUAAGGCGAUAUGAAAACAAACAAACUAGAGGACUGGGAUCAGAGCGAGAGGAUGUGGCCCCAUUCUCAACACACAAGGCUGGCUGGCAAACUGUCCUUUCUGGGGUCCCCAUAGAAACACCAGUGAAAGUCUUUGUGCCAUCACCCAAAUGUUAAAUGUUGCAGUGAAUAAAAGAUAAACUGAUCCAUAUCAGUUUAUAGCAAUAUUCAAACUGAAUACAGGUUGCUGCUGACAUACAUAGAUAACAACAUUCUGACUUGCUGCCACCUGGAUCUGGAGCUGUACAGUAAACAAACACUGAAGCCCAAUUUGACCAGAAUAGGAAUAGAAAUUUGUAACAAACUAUUAAUAGUAAAGUUCAUCAGCUCCUUGGCUGGCAACUCGCAAUAUCCCAGCACACUAGUGGAUUAAAGGUUAAAAUUAGCUACAUCAGCUAAUGCUUUUGACCCUAUAUAGCAUGCUUGAGCACACCCAAAAAGAGUCUAAACUUGCCUAUCAUGAUGUUAUGAUGGUAUGUCCAAGAGCAGCCUGUAUUCAGAGUUCAUGAUCCCUUUAUAUUAAAAAUCACAAGAAAAAAUUAAGCUGAGCAGAUGAGAAGAAUUCCUCAUAUUUUAUCAGUUUUAGAAAAGACAACAAAAUUCAGUCACAGGUUUAUUGGUAACUGCAAAGAUUUGAAAGAAGAGUCGAAAGAGAAGCACUCUCACUAAUGGAGGGUAACAAGAGGAAGCACUCACGUUUUUUACUCCAGAGUGUUCCCACAUAGCAGACAGGUCUGGCCCGGAUCUGGUGUCUA